rnacentral:rRNA from 1 species
CAUUGGGACUGAGACACUGCCCAAACUCCUACGGGAGGCUGCAGUAGGGAAUUUUCCGCAAUGCACGAAAGUGUGACGGAGCGACGCCGCGUGUGUGAUGAAGGCUUUCGGGUCGUAAAGCACUGUUGUAAGGGAAGAAUAACUGAAUUCAGAGAAAGUUUUCAGCUUGACGGUACCUUACCAGAAAGGGAUGGCUAAAUACGUGCCAGCAGCCGCGGUAAUACGUAUGUCCCGAGCGUUAUCCGGAUUUAUUGGGCGUAAAGCGAGCGCAGACGGUUUAUUAAGUCUGAUGUGAAAUCCCGAGGCCCAACCUCGGAACUGCAUUGGAAACUGAUUUACUUGAGUGCGAUAGAGGCAAGUGGAACUCCAUGUGUAGCGGUGAAAUGCGUAGAUAUGUGGAAGAACACCAGUGGCGAAAGCGGCUUGCUAGAUCGUAACUGACGUUGAGGCUCGAAAGUAUGGGUAGCAAACGGGAUUAGAUACCCCGGUAGUCCAUAC